GACGAACGCUGGCGGCGUGCUUAACACAUGCAAGUCGAACGGAAAGGCCCUGCUUUUGUGGGGUGCUCGAGUGGCGAACGGGUGAGUAACACGUGAGUAACCUGCCCUUGACUUUGGGAUAACUUCAGGAAACUGGGGCUAAUACCGGAUAGGAGCUCCUGCUGCAUGGUGGGGGUUGGAAAGUUUCGGCGGUUGGGGAUGGACUCGCGGCUUAUCAGCUUGUUGGUGGGGUAGUGGCUUACCAAGGCUUUGACGGGUAGCCGGCCUGAGAGGGUGACCGGCCACAUUGGGACUGAGGUACGGCCCAGACUCCUACGGGAGGCAGCAGUGGGGAAUAUUGCACAAUAGGCGGAAGCCUGAUGCAGCAACGCCGCGUGCGGGAUGACGGCCUUCGGGUUGUAAACCGCUUUCGCCUGUGACGAAGCGUGAGUGACGGUAAUGGGUAAAGAAGCACCGGCUAACUACGUG
rnacentral:rRNA from 1 species